GACGAACGCUGGCGGCGUGCUUAACACAUGCAAGUCGAACGGAGAAUUUAUUUCGGUAAAUUCUUAGUGGCGAACGGGUGAGUAACGCGUGGGCAACCUGCCCUUCAGAUGGGGACAACAUCCCGAAAGGGGUGCUAAUACCGAAUACGAUCACGCUGCCGCAUGGCGGAGUGAUGAAAGAUGGCCUCUAUAUAUAAGCUAUCGCUGAAGGAUGGGCCUGCGUCUGAUUAGCUAGUUGGUGGGGUAACGGCCUACCAAGGCGAUGAUCAGUAGCCGGUCUGAGAGGAUGAACGGCCACAUUGGGACUGAGAAACGGCCCAAACUCCGACGGGAGGCAGCAGUGGGGAAUAUUCCGCAAUGGACGAAAGUCUGACGGAGCAACGCCGCGUGAGUGAUGAAGGUUUUCGGACUGUAAAACUCUGUUGUUUAGGACGAAAGUGCCUGUUGCAAAUAGUUGCAGGUAUUGACGGUACUGAACGAGGAAGCCACGGCUAACUACGUGCCAGCAGCCGCCGUAA
rnacentral:rRNA from 1 species